GCCCCGGUGGUGGAAUAGGUAGACACGUGGGACUUAAAAUCCCAUGUCCGAUGAGGACGUGCCGGUUCAAGUCCGGCCCGGGGUACCA
rnacentral:tRNA from 1 species